ACACUAAACAGGUUAGGGGGGGGGGGGGCGCAAAUUCCGCUACAAUAGUGGUAUAUCACUAUUAUUGUGAGAUUUCGCUAUAUUUUCAGCUGUAGAUAGACUCGAUUUCCUCAAAUUACAUAUUAGCCGAUUAAAGUGCAAGUCAUGGAAACUGUAAAGUUUGCUGAUACAUGACAGCAGACUCACACCACGGUAAUUCAUUGGAAGACGUUUGUCUGAUGAAGAAUCCUUAAGAAUAGGACAAAUUAUUGCUUUACGCCAAACCGAGGGAAUAGUGUUUGUGUCAAAAAUGUGUUGGAAAAGAUGACGUAACGUGUCGAUGACUAUUGGAUAUUUCAAAACACUGUAAGGAAUUUCGUCGAACCCACAUGCAGACUUAGAUUUUGCGCGCAUCACUGUAUCGGAUAUUUCCUGAAGAGAUAUGUCAUGAUAUAUACAUUCAACAAUUAUUGGAUAUUAGGGAAAUUGGAUAAUCAUCGUAUAAUAGACAUCCCGUGGGGAUCCGGGUUAGAAUAGGUCCUCAGUACCCCUUGCUUGUCGUAAGAGGCGACUAAAUGGGGCGGUCCGUAAGAUGAGACCGCAAAAACCGAGGUCCCGUGUCUAAGGUGAAGAUAAGGAACAGCGAUCAAUCUCAUAACUCCUACAAGCAAUCCUACAAGCAAUACAAAUUAGAUAGUUGGGCAAAGAUAGGGCUAGCUUCGUAGAGCACUUACUGGAUCCAGCAAUAUCCAAUACAAACAUCCUAUGAAAGGGCGACAACUAGAACAGAGCUCGUUGCUAAAGCAACUAAUUAUAAGUCCCGUUCGAUUUUUGUUAAAAAGUCACACUCGACACAGAGUAGCAAAGGAGACAAUGUGAUAACUAAAAGCUAUAAAUGUUCUGUCUGGUAUUUAAUACUUUUCAGGAGUCAGACUUAUAGUUCCCUAUAGGGUUUGAUGUAUUAGAUAGCUUUGAAGUUUAAUUGCGACCAUUUUCCCCUUGAAAGAGAUUAUCAAAGUACUUGAGGAUUGGGAGAUCUAACCCCUUUUAAACCUCUGGUUAACUUUACGAUCUGAACAAUUUGUUAACAUCCAUACACGAUACUCUUCUUUGUUGUAGAAAAUGUUGAUAACUAUUUUAGUCUAAUAAGAAUUCUGUUUUAUGGACCCCUAGCUCCCUAAAUUAAAAAUUUUUGCUUCAUCUACGUGUAGGAGUUGUUGAUGUCAACAUUUUCUUCUCAGUUCUUUCUACUAUGUAAAAACUUUUUAGGAUUUAGGAAUCUUACCCAAACUUACCCCUUAAAAUUGAGAAAUAAUGAUCGCGUUUUUGUGUAUGUUCAUUGUUGCAGGAUAAGCUCCUUGGUUUCGAAAUGUUUGAAAUAUAAAAGCCUCGGCUUUUAUAUUUCAAACAUUUCGAGACCAAGGAGCUUAUCCUGCAACGUACGCAAAAACAAGAACUUUAUUUCUAUUCUACUACGGCUCAAAAAUAUACAGCUGAUCGUUUUCCUAUACAGCUGCAAAUUAGGUCACUGUGACGUCAUGACAGUUUCCGAAACUGCCUACAUUAUUUUUUGCUGACGAAAAAGGCAAGGUGGUAGGGAUAUUCUAAGUCUAUUUUGAAAGAGUAUUUCAAGUUUUUAGUUUAAUGUUAACGGAUUAUAUUAAUUGCUUUGAAUACAGUUCAAGAAAAACUUG